ACAUCCAGCGAAUUCGGUAGAGAUACCUUAGUGCCUUCGGGAACGCUGAGACAGGUGCUGCAUGGCUGUCGUCAGCUCGUGUUGUGAAAUGUUGGGUUAAGUCCCGCAACGAGCGCAACCCUUAUCCUUUGUUGCCAGCGGUCCGGCCGGGAACUCAAAGGAGACUGCCAGUGAUAAACUGGAGGAAGGUGGGGAUGACGUCAAGUCAUCAUGGCCCUUACGAGUAGGCUACACACGUGCUACAAUGGCGCAUACAAAGAGAAGCGACCUCGCGAGAGCAAGCGGACCUCAUAAAGUGCGUCGUAGUCCGGAUUGGAGUCUGCAACUCGACUCCAUGAAGUCGGAAUCGCUAGUAAUCGUAGAUCAGAAUGCUACGGUGAAUACGUUCCCGGGCCUUGUACACACCGCCCGUCACACCAUGGGAGUGGGUUGCAAAAGAAGUAGGUAGCUUAACCUUCGGGAGGGCGCUUACCACUUUGUGAUUCAUGACUGGGGUGAAGUCGUAACAAGGUAGGCGUAGCGAG
rnacentral:rRNA from 1 species